rnacentral:rRNA from 1 species
AACGAACGCUGGCGGCAUGCCUAACACAUGCAAGUCGAACGAGACCUUCGGGUCUAGUGGCGCACGGGUGCGUAACGCGUGGGAACCUGCCCUUAGGUUCGGAAUAACUCCCCGAAAGGGGUGCUAAUACCGGAUAAUGUCUUCGGACCAAAGAUUUAUCGCCUUUGGAUGGGCCCGCGUUGGAUUAGCUAGUUGGUAGGGUAAAAGCCUAGCAAGGCGACGAUCCAUAGCUGGUCUGAGAGGAUGAUCAGCCACACUGGGACUGAGACACGGCCCAGACUCCUACGGGAGGCAGCAGUGGGGAAUAUUGGACAAUGGGCGAAGGCCUGAUCCAGCAAUGCCGCGUGAGUGAUGAAGGCCUUAGGGUUGUAAAGCUCUUUUACCCGGGAUGAUAAUGACAGUACCGGGAGAAUAAGCCCCGGCUAACUCCGUG